CAGUUAUGAAUAUGUUGGAUGGUGAAAGACGACUAACAGCUUCAGAGAAAGAGGUUAAGGAAAAAAAAUAUUAAAACAGGUUGGAUGGUAAAACGACCAACACCUUAAGAGAAAGAGGUUAAGAAAUUCAUAAGACAUAGAUACUUGACAAAGAAAGAAAAAGAGAUUAAGACAUGUUGGAUGGUAGAAACGACCAACAAUAAGACAUGUUGGAUGGUAAAAUGACCAACACCUUAAGAGAAAGAGGUUAAGAAAUUCAUAAGACAUAGAUACUUGACAAAGAAAGAAAAAGAGAUUAAGACAUGUUGGAUGGUAGAAACGACCAACACCUUAAGAGAAAGAGGUUAAGAAAUUCAUAAGAGUAUAAGACAGAGAUACUUGACAAAGACAAUGGAGCAGUUAGAACUUGUUGGAUGGUAAAAAACGACCAACAACUUCAGAUAAAGACUAGAGGGAUAGAGACUUGUUGGAUGGUUA
rnacentral:lncRNA from 1 species